AUGGCAACGGCUCCCAGUGUCACCAUUGUCACCAGUUCCAGUGCUACCAGUGCCGCCAGUUUGAGCAACGUCACCGCUCCCAGUGUCACCAGUGCCACCAGUGCCACCAGUUUGAGCAAUGUCAUCGGUUCCAGUGUCACCAGUAUGAGCAAUGUCACCGGUUCCAGUGCCACCAGUGUCACCAGUUCCAGUGUCACCAGUGCCACCAGUUUGAGCAAUGUCACCGCUCCCAGUGUCACCAGUUUGACCAGUUCCAGUGUCACCGGUGUCACCAGUGCUACCAGUGCCAGUGUCACCAAGGCCACCGGUGUGACCAGUAUGGCUGCUCCCAGUUUGACCAGUGCUCCCAGUUUGACCAGUAUGGCUCCCAGUCUGACCAGUUUAACCAGUACGCCUGUGACGUCAUCUCCCAGUGCUCCCAGUACCAGCAUGGCGGCUCCCAGUAUGACCAGUACCAACAUGGCGGCUCCCAGUACCAACAUGGCGGCUCCUAGUGCUCCCAGUACCAACAUGGCGGCUCCCAGUAUGACCAGUACCACCAUGACGUCAUCUCCCAGCGCUCCCAGUAUAACGAUGACGUCACCUCCCAGCGCUCCCAGUAUCACCAGUACC
rnacentral:lncRNA from 1 species